rnacentral:lncRNA from 1 species
UGCCACUCCUUAGACUGAUGGUGCUCAAGCAAAUUGCUUUGAGCCCUAUAAAAAACAAGGCCAACAACAACAACACUAAAAUACAUAAAAGAUGAAAAACCUCAAAGGUAAAUUGAUGCAAGUUUUAAUGCAAGAGAACAAGCAAAAUGGAGGCAGUGACAGGACUGAAGCUGUUUAAACAGAAGUAUUUCAUUACAUUUUCAACUGGAAUGGAGAGGAGCAUAACACAAAAUGUCAGAAGAGCAGAAAGUUAACAUUUAGAGGAAGACGUCUGCUCUGUAUUGCAUUAUUGCAAGUCCUUUUCAGAGGAUCAGGGAAAACAGAUCAGCCUCUUUUUGAGCUCACGCAACUAUUGUUUUUUGGAAGUGCUGACCAAACAACCCUCAGGUGCAUAGCUACGGCUGGGGAAAUUGUGAUUAUUGUUCCAAGGACUUGCCAUGGGGAAGCUAAGCAUGGAUUCUUAAUUUGUACCAGAUGGGACCAUGGCUCUUACAUUUUGCAGAGAAGUAUUUAGAAGCACUCUGAGAAUAAAUAUGAUAGCCUGCAGAUUAGUGUUAACA